rnacentral:rRNA from 1 species
UACAGAGGUGGCAAGCGUUGUUCGGAAUUACUGGGCGUAAAGGGCGCGUAGGCGGUCUUGUAAGUCUUGUGUGAAAUCCCUCGGCUCAACUGAGGAACUGCACGGGAUACUGCGAGACUUGAGUUCGGGAGAGGGAAGCGGAAUUCCGGGUGUAGCGGUGAAAUGCGUAGAUAAUCCGGAGGAACACCGGUGGCGAAGGCGGCUUCCUGGACCGAU